GUGCGAGGCAGCAGCCGAACCACCAAGUGCCGCCUCGGACCGCGGCGGAGCGGUUCCCAAAACAGUCGUACUGGUUGGAUCUCUGGCUGUUCUUCCUCGUCGACCUGGUGUUGUUUUUCUUCGUGUACCUUUGGCCCUGAAUGGUUUGCCUAAUAUCUCAAUGAAGAAGUUGGCUCCUGGAAUGGAUUCUGAAAAUGACUACAACUUGAACAAAGAAGACAGACGGGAUUGUGCAACAGAAGAAUUUCACACUCUAAGGGACCUUCCUUCCAUUUUACGCAUCCUUACCUAUCUGGGGGACUAUAUUAAAUGGGUAAGAUCUCACCCAUUCAUAGCUGAGUUCUUUAGACUCUGAUUCGUGUAAGAACUUUUUUCAAACACCUGAUGGCUUUACAGGAGCUGAAUUAAAAUUAUUUAUACAGAAAAAUUUAGUGUAUUCAUUAAGAGUUAUAGUAGUAUGUUUAACAUGUUAAGGGUUGGCCAGGUUUUGGUGGGAUGCAAGUAAUAUAAUGAAUAAGAUGAAGUAUUGAAAAAAAAUAAAUUACUCAAAAGCAAGGGAAGGCUUUGAGAAGUUAAAAGCUAUACAGAAAACGCAGGUCCACAAAGUACUGGCUGUGAGUACCUGUUUAAUUUUUAGAUUAAGUGAGCCUCUGCUGUGGCUGCCAGAUCGAUAGGAUCUUAGAGAAAGUUGGCAAUAUCCAGUAUUGGAAAGCUCUUACCCACAAGCUGCCCCUCCUCCUGUUAAGCUCUUGAACUCAAACAGGAUUGUGUGUCCCAAAUCUAUUUUUUAUUAUUGUGGUUGCAUUAAGAAUGCUCGUGGCCAAAACAUGUUUAUUUUUAUAAUUUCUGUAACUUUCUGAAAUACUUCAGCAGAGUCGGCCUGUUUACUCAUUCAGCAAAUAUGUGAGCACUUACUAUGAGCCAGGUAUGGCAGUGAAAAAAAGAAACCUAGUUUUCAUGGAGCUUACCUUCUCGUUUUUUUAUCUAAAUAUGUUAACAAGAAUUCACAUUUUAAAAGUGCUCAGUUGGUAUUUAAACAGGUCACCUUCCCAGAGCAGCCACCAUAAACCCUUGAGAAGCCAUUCUUAAGAAAAGAAAUUCCUUUAUAAUAACAUGUGAGAAAUAGCCUCUAGUGGUUGAUAUUGGUGACAUUUGAUACAUGUGAAUUGCAUAUGUAUUUUGAGGAUAUUCCCCCUCCAAAUCAAGGCAUAGAUCUGGUAAACUCCACGUCUGCCUUUUCAGUGGCACUUAAGGUUGGAGUGGAAUCUGGAAUGGCUUUUGGAGGAUUUAAACAGCCGAAUAUAAGAUUAACAAUUACGCUUUCAGGGUGUUGUUGCAUCUGUCUAAAGGAAACCUUUUAUGUAAAGGUUGAAGCAUCUAGAGAAACAACUGGGAUUUCCUUGAGUGUGCAAACAUUCUAUGAACUGUUUUUGUGCUGCUUGCUAAUAAUUUUGUCCAAUAAAUGUUUACUGUAUAGCUAAA